rnacentral:rRNA from 1 species
AGUGAACGCUGGCGGUAUGCCUAACACAUGCAAGUCGAACGGCAGCACAGUAAGAGCUUGCUCUUACGGGUGGCGAGUGGCGGACGGGUGAGGAAUACAUCGGAAUCUACUUUUUCGUGGGGGAUAACGUAGGGAAACUUACGCUAAUACCGCAUACGACCUACGGGUGAAAGCAGGGGAUCUUCGGACCUUGCGCGAUUGAAUGAGCCGAUGUUGGAUUAGCUAGUUGGCGGGGUAAAGGCCCACCAAGGCGACGAUCCGUAGCUGGUCUGAGAGGAUGAUCAGCCACACUGGAACUGAGACACGGUCCAGACUCCUACGGGAGGCAGCAGUGGGGAAUAUUGGACAAUGGGCGCAAGCCUGAUCCAGCCAUACCGCGUGGGUGAAGAAGGCCUUCGGGUUGUAAAGCCCUUUUGUUGGGAAAGAAAAGCAGCAGGUUAAUACCCCGCUGUUCUGACGGUACCCAAAGAAUAAGCACCGGCUAACUUCGUG